rnacentral:tRNA from 1 species
GGAUGUGUGGCUCAGUUGGUUAGAGCACUACGUUCACAUCGUAGGGGUCGGCGGUUCGAGUCCGCCCACAUCCACCA